rnacentral:tRNA from 1 species
GGGCUCUUAGCUCAGUUGGUUAGAGCAGGUGACUCAUAAUCACCGGGUCGCUGGUUCAAGUCCGGCAGGGCCCACCA